GGGGAGGUUCCCGAGCGGUCAAAGGGGCCAGACUGUAAAUCUGUUGGCUACGCCUUCGAAGGUUCGAAUCCUUCUCUCCCCA
rnacentral:tRNA from 1 species